UACGUAGGGGGCUAGCGUUGUCCGGAAUCAUUGGGCGUAAAGCGCGUGUAGGCGGUCCGGUAAGUCCGCUGUGAAAGUCGAGGGCUCAACCCUCGAAUGCCGGUGGAUACUGUCGGGCUUGAGUACGGGAGAGGCGAGUGGAAUUCCUGGUGUAGCGGUGAAAUGCGCAGAUAUCAGGAGGAACACCGAUGGCGAAGGCAGCUCGCUGGGACGGCACUGACGCUGAGACGCGAAAGCGUGGGGAGCAAACAGG
rnacentral:rRNA from 1 species